CACCUCACCAUUAGGUACACCAUUAGGUAGUGGCUGAUGUACCACCAGCAUUAUUGAAAAAUUUUGGGGAAAAAUUUGACAAACCCAAAACCAAACCAUGGUUCCAGGGAUGGACCAGCAAUUAAAUUAUUGAAGCAACCAUCCCCUGCCAUAGACAAUCACGAGAGAACCUCUCCCCUCUCAUUGCUAACGCUGAAGUAGAACCCACCAACCCGACGAUCAAAACCCAGUCUCAGACUCCCUCCUGCCGGCGAUUCUACGAAUGGCAAGAAAAUGUUCACGAGAGGAACCUCCCACUACCUAACACUGCAUAAAGACCCAGUAGCCCACAAUUGAAAAACACGUCGCUGACUCCCUCCUGCCAUCGAUUCAACGAUUGGAAAGGAAAAAUCGCAAUCGGCAAAACUGCAAACGAUAAGAAAGGGAAAACAGCAAAGGAUUCAGCCUGCUCCUUCCUAUCGUCAUUUCUACUUGCUUCCACUCGUCCACAUUGAAGUCACCAAUUGCAAUUCAAACCUUAAUCUGAGUGAUAAGGUUAGUACAUUAACAAUUUUGAUUUAGUAAUUUUUCUUCCUGUCCAGCGACACCGGUUGACUAAUUAUGAUUUCGGCCUUUGUGAAUGAUGAAUGCAUGAAUUUAUGAAACUCAAAAUCUGUGAUUUGUGAUUUUUGAAUGGCUGAAUUCGUCUGCUUCUAUAAUCUGUUGGUUUUUUUAUUGUCUCUUGAAUUUGUGAUUUUCUCAAUAUGUGAUUUGUAAAUUUGCUUUGGAGAAUUAAUGUGUUUUGUGUUUUUGAUAUGUAAGAUUUAGUUUGGAACUUCAUCAAAAAUUCAAACAGAGGUGGUGAUUAUUAUUACAAGAUCAUGUAUUUUUACCUUCUUAAUGGUGAUUAUGUUCAGCCUUCCAAGUGAAAAUGUCUUUUGACUCGUAGAUAAAUUGGGCGUUACUUUAUGGUCUCUGCAUUAAGAAGAAGUAAAGGUAGUUUCACAAUCCUAUGUUAAUAAUGUACCUAACAUUUGCUUGUUUUUAUAGAGCCAAUGCUGUAAUGUGGAAGUUUCAUUGUUUAUCUUCUUAUCCUGCAUUUGCUUUGUAAUGUUGUUGUGAUAUUUUGUUGUCUAUCUAGCUCCUACUAUGUGGAGAUGACUGGCUGAUUUGGUCGGAUGAUUGUGAAUAUUUUACUUGCCAUAUAUUUUAAAUUAAAAAUUGACUUCUAUGACCAUGUUAUAUUUAACAUUUCAAAAAUAGUAAGCUAUAAGAUAAACAUAUAAACAAUUUCUAAUAUACUAAUCUAUCAAAAUGGAUGAUGAAUCCAAUAGUAAUGUCUUCUUGAUGAAAGAAUAAAGAAGAUGGUUAAGAGGUUAAGUUUUGUUAAUGAUAGAAGAAAUUGGUUUAUGAUUACUUUUCAAAAUCUUUUAUCUUUUUUUAAUUAACAAAAUUCAUAUUACCCAAUAUAAUAUAAGUAUAUCCAAUGUUUAAUGUAUACAAAUUAAAUCAUCAAGCCGUAACAUUAAUGGCAUUCAAAUCGAGCAUUAAAUGCUCCUAAAAACGUAUCAAUAAGGGUAAUUUGGACUUCUCACACAAAAAAGUGUAAUUUUUAGCACCAUUAAUAGAAAUGAAAACUUUUGGUAGACUUUUUUUAUUUUUUUAUUUUUUUUUAUGUAACAUUGGAUGAAUUUGGUCCUAACUUUUUCCUCUAGUCUACCCAAGUCAAUCUAUAAUCACUUUCUUCUUUACCACCUACGAUACAAACUAAAUAUUGUAUCCGUUAAACAUUUACAUCUUGAAGUAGCAAGUUGCAGGCACAAUUCACGCGGAGACUGUAGCAACUUACAGAUUUGUCUUUUGAGUCGAAUAACAGGUUAUCAAACAACCCCUUUGAUCUUAUACAUUGUGAUAUAUGGGGGACCUUACCAUGUGACCUCACAUUCUGGACACAAUUAUUUUCUAACCUUGGUAGAUGAUUGUUCUAGAUUUACAUGGAUAUAUCUGUUGAGGAAUAAAUCAGAUGCUAAGACCAUCAUUCCUAGAUUUUUCAGCAUGGUACAUACCCAAUUCAAUGCUAAUAUAAGAAUGCUCUGAUACCACAUCAGAUAUUUGAAUGAAGAAUCUUGUUUUAUUGAUUCUGAAAAUCUGGAGAAAAAUGAACAUACAAGUCUCUAUAAAUAGUGGCAAGUAUUGACGCCAAAAUGAAAAUGAGCUGGACUAACUAACUAACUAAACAGGUGCCAGCUGGUUAACUAAAAUUGAUCUAUGUACAGUACGUUUAUGUACAAUUCCUAAUAAAAACGCUGCGAUAAGCGGGUCCCAUUGACGGCUUCCCAUCCUUGGCUUGCUUAGCCGGCUCCACUUCUAUGAUAAACCUCUUAUCCGCCAUUUUCGAUCCUUCUGAUUUCCCCCUGUAACAAGAUAUACUUAAAUAUGUAAAAAUGCGUACGUAAUGUGAUGCUGAUUAGAUAGAUAGGAAUUUCUCACUAACGCGAAAUUAUCAAGUUUUAGUUUUGUGUACAGUGUAUAUUAGUUAUAAAGGGUGGCUAUGCAUAUGUGAUUGAAAACUUGCUGGCUAUAUGUCGCAACUGAAUUUAUUUUUGACAAUCGAAACUUAUUUUACUAACUCACAUAAUUUAUAUCCUGUUAGAAUCAAGCUAUCCAAUUAAAUUUUUUGAUUUGUUAAUUUAAAAGGAACAUGACUGAAAAACCUGUCGCUGACUUCCUCCUGCCAUCGAUUCAAGGAUUGGAAAGGAAAAAUCGCAAUCAGCAAAAUCGCAAAUGAUUGGAAAGGGAAAACAGCGAAGGAUUCAGCUUGCUCCCUCCUAUCGUCAUUGCUACUUGCUUCCUGUAGUCCACAGUCAAAUCGCCAAUUGCAGUUCAGACCCUAAUCUUAGUAAUAAGGUUAGUACAUUAACAAUUUUAAAUUUUUCUUCCUGACCAGCGACUCCGGUCGACUAAUUAUGAUUUCAGCCUUUGUGAACGGGGAAUGUAUGAAUUUAUGAAACUCAAAACCUGUGAUUUGUGAUUUUUGAAUGGUUGAAUUCGUCUGCUUCUAUAACCUGUUGGUUUUUUUGAGGCUUUCUUGAAUUUCUGAUUUUGUCAAUAUGUGAAUUGUAAAUUUGCUUUGGAGAAUUGAUAUGUUUUUUGUGUUUUUGAUAUGUAAGAUUUAGUUUGGGAACUUCAUCAAAAAUUCAAAAUAGAGGUGGUGAUUAUUAUUACAAGAUCAUGUAUUUUUACCUUCUUAAUGGUGAUUAUGUUCAGCCUUCCAAGUGAAAAUGUCUUUUGACUCGUAGAUAAAUUGGGCGUUACUUUAUGGUCUCUGCAUUAAGAAGUAAAGGUAGUUUCACAAUCCUAUGUUAAUAAUGUACCUAACAUUUGCUUGUUUUUAUAGAGCCAAUGCUGUAAUGUGGAAGAAGUUCAUUGUUAUCUUUUUAUCCAGCAUUUGCUUUGUAAUAUUGUGAUAUUUUUGUUGUCUAUCUGGCUCUUAUUAUGUGGAGAUGACUGGCUGAUUUGGUCGGAUGAUUGUGAAUAUUUUACUUGCCAUAUAUUUUAAAUUAAAAAUUGACUUCUACGACCAUGUUAUAUUUAACAUUUCAAAAAUAGUAAGUUAUAAGUUAAACACAUAUACAAUUUGUAAGAGACUAAUCUCUCAAAAUGGAUAAUGAAUCCAAUAGCUAUGUCUUCUUGAUGAAAGAAUAAAGAAGAUGGUUAAGAAGUUGAGUUUUGUUAAUGAUAGAAGAAAUUUGUUUAUGAUUACUUUUCAAAACCUUUUAUCUUUUUUUAUGAACAAAAUUCAUAUUACCCAAUAUAUUAGACGUAUAUCCAAUGUGCAAUGUAUACAAAUUAAAUCAUCACACCAUAACAUUAAUGGCAUUCAAGUCGAGCAUUAAAUGCUCCUAAAAACGUAUCAUUAAGGGUAAUUUGGACCUCUCACACAAAAAAAUGUCAUUUUUAGCACCAUUAAUAGAAAUGACAAUUUUGGUAGAUUUUCAAAUUUAGCGACAUCUAUGAAAAAUCCGUGAAUUAAAACAGGAAUUCCACCAACUUUAGGUUUUCUCUUUUGAAUACUUCGUGGAUUGUCUUCAUCAAUAUAGUUUCACACCUCAAGGUCCGACGGUCGUUUGGAUAGAUUGUGUAAUUUAAAGAAUUCUUAUUCAUCCUUCAACCUCAAGGCCAACUCACCUUUCUCCAUGUCAAUCAAUUUUGACCUGUUGCUAGGAAGGUCGACUCAAGAUUUUUCGAAUAUUUUGAUCUUCAUCUAUGUCAAGAACAAGGAAACCCAUCUAGAAUACCAAUUUUCCAGCUUUAAUUAGUACAUCAUCGACUUUGUCUCUUGGAUAUUUGAUGCUUUCAUUAUCCAUUUGCGGUGACUUCAUUAUUUCCUUUACGAUAUGUUGAUGUAGAGUUUCUUUAGCUCAUCCAAAAGCUUCUCAAAUUGUUCGUCGACCUUCUUUUUUUGCAAUCUCUUGGGAAAUGGGACAUGAAGAACAUAAGUCUUGAUAGUAACUGUUGCCUAACCUGUAGAUUAUCCGACUUCUAAUCUGUAACUAUUUUUGCUAGUUGUUCAGAUUUAUCCACUUGCUCCUCAUUUGUGGAAGUUACAUUUUCAUUUAAUACUAUCUAUCUCUUAACUACAAUUUAUGGUAGUUGAACCCUACCCCACGUAAUAAUUACCUGAACUAGAGUUACUGCUUUCACAAGUGAUUUCUCGAUUAUUUCAUUCUCACAACUUUUACUACCAUCACAUGCUAUUUAGGAUUUGUCUUAGUUUCACUUGACUGGGCUUCUAGUAGUCUCUUUGAAAGUGUCUUAGCUAUUUGUCCUGUUUAAUUAUCCAAAAUCUUUAUAGCAUCCAGUUGGACUUGAAAAUUUUUCUCAGUUUGUUGUAUGAAUUUAGUUGAUACUUCAACCAUAGGUUGAUGACAUUGCGAUUUCACUCAAUGCUUCUUCCCGUGAGGGUUUUUAUUCUGGUUGUUGGAAACCUAGUGAUGCAUUUUGAUAUGUAGUGCCUUGAGAAGAUUGAUAGUUGCUCCGAGAAAAGUUUGAGUGAUUUCUCCGACUCAAAUUGUAUGUAUUGGAAUGAGGAUUCUUGUGUUAUCUCUGAAAAUUUUAUAUGUGAUCUCUGAAAUUUUUUUUAUGUGAUUCACAUCAUCAACUGAUUGCACAAAUGGACUUCCCACAUUACAAUUCGCACUUUAAUGAUUACACCUAUAAUACUUGCAUCUUGGCCUAGCUGUUUGAACUGCAUUCAUUGUUUGAUUGGUUGCCCAAUUAUCUACCUUUUCAGCUAGUGCUGCAACUAUGCUGAAAUAGCUAUCAUUGAGUCAACCUCAUGCAUCCUAGCAGCUCCUUUUCCACCCGAUCUUUCCGCUAGCCAUAGUGCAUUGGUAUAUGCUAGAUCUUCUAUGAUUUGAUACACUUGAUCCACUGUCUUUCUUGUAAUUGACCCAUCACAAGCAAAGUCAAUGUUACCCUCCUAUUCGGAGUCAAGAUAUUGUAGAAGUACUGGACUUGUAGCCAAUUUUGCAACCAUUGUUGUGGACAUUUUUGAAGCAAACGUUUUUACCUAUUUCAUACUUCAUAAUAGCACUUUGAAUUAAGUUGUGAGAAUGUAG
rnacentral:lncRNA from 1 species